rnacentral:ncRNA from 24 species
GUUAUCCUGCCCGGCGUAGGCGGGCGAGAGGUCCAGGAAGCCGGUGAGAGUCCGGCACGGUCCCGCCACUGUGACCGGGGAGCGACCCCCGCACGCAGGGCCACUGUCGCCGCGGGCGAUGGGAAGGCCGGGGGAAGCGGAGAUCCGGGAGUCAGGAUACUGGCCUCUCGCCGGAGAAACCCC